AAGAGAAAAAGGCAACAUGCAAAGAUCUGUUUGGGAAGAGUGUGCAUGUGCAAAGGCCCUGGGGGUAUGAAAAGGUGUGGCACGUUUGGGGAAGGGAAAGAAGGCUGGAGUGUUUGGAGGAGGAGAUCAGAGAGCCGGGCAGAGGCCAGAUGACAAAGGCCUCAUUAUGACCUGUCAUGGCAAGAAGUUUGAAGGUCUCCUCAAUCCAGUGAGAAGCCACUAAAGGGCUUGAAGCAGCAGAGGAUUCAAUUUACGUUUUUAAAAGAUUGGUCUGGCUGCUGUUUGGAAACGUAUCUUUGAGAGAAAAGCCAAGACACAAGGAGACAAAUACCGUUGAUGAACAGGGCUUUGCUCCAGGUGGCAGCUGUAGGUCUGAGACGAAGUUGAAAGCCAAGUCCCAUAGGACCAGAGGACCGGCUGUGAGCUGGAUGUGCAGUGUAAGGGAGGGCCAGGAGGCAAGACGGACGCUUGAGUUUUUGGGUUAAGCCAAAUGUCGAUGUUCUCUGUCGAAGCGGGAAAGUUGGAGAGAAGCAAUUUCAUCCGAGGCGAGACACGAAUCGAGAGCUCCCCCACCAGGAACUGUCCGUUGUAAUGUCCUGCCACCCUCCACGAUGCCUCAGUGCUCAGGACCCCUGCCGCACCUUGGCUCCUGCCAGCCUCUGCCUAGACGCUCCUCCUUUGUCCUCAUUUGCUUUCUAAAGCCUACCCUGUGUCUUCCUUUCUCCUUCUGACAUCUGGGACUCAAGAUCACCCAACCCGAUUACCCAUUACCACUCCAUUAUAUCUGCUUCUCUAUUGUUUGCUAAUUGGUGUACCUAGAAAGUGUAUCUCCUGGCCAGGCAGUAACCGUGGUCAUUUUUCUCUUUCGAUGAGAAAGAGAAAUUGCAGGUCACUUUGCCUGCAAUUAAGGGUCUGUGGGGCGGAGGAAUGAUUUGUGAUAUCUUGCCCAUGGCCUCCUGGCCCCAAAACCAUGACUUUGUGCCGACUCGGGCAGGGGGAAAAUGGGAGAGAGUAUCAUACUUUUUGCCUCAAUCAUCCUUUUAAAAAAACCCCAACUUAUAAAGCUGGAGACGAUAGAAAGCCUGAAAAGAGGUAGUGUUAUGGAUUGUGCUUCUAAAGACGUAGACACCUGUAUACAAUCUGAUUUCUUUUUGUGCUCCUUCAUGACUGGUUUUAAUACUACGUUCCAGGUCCUAACCUUGCUGACGUAUUCCCUCCCUCAGCAUAGAGUCGGCUGUCCUUUCCAGAGAGCUUGUUGCUAAAGGAAAUUUCCAGUGGAUUCUCGGUCCCUUCUCCUCUGGGCUACCAAAGUCAUCGCUUUCCACAGAGCAGACUGGGAAGUAGGGUGUUUGAUGCUGGGACAGACAAGGAAGAGAAGGGAAAGGUAUGAUAUGCUAGCUGCUUUGAGCACCUUGUCCUUAAUACAACGGCUUUGCAAUGCUCUUGAGGUCACAUGUGGAGCCAUCCGGCAUACAGACUUUGGAGUCAGAGAACCGAGUCUGCGUGACCUUGGAAAAGUCACUGGCAUUUUCUGAUCGCCAUUCUUCAUGUUUAAAGUGUUGAUGGUCAGAGGAGCACCUACUUCCUGGGCUGGUCAAAGAGUUCUGGGAGAUCCCACACAGAGAGCACUCAACACAGCUCUCGGCACACAGAAAGCACUAGCUAACCAUCAGCGAUCUUUAUGGCCACCACUCUCCUUUGACAUAAGGAGACGGGGCUCCGAGGCCCUGAGUGACUUUGCCCACGGUCACACAGCUGGUGUGCAGCAGAACCCAGGGCUGUCCAGCUUGCGAGCCUACUCUUUGUACUAUGCCAUGUGCAAAGAAUCAAGAUUUCAAAACAGCGUUGUGGGCUGUAACUGGAAAGUGAAAAAAAAAAAACCAAAAACGCCUUUCAAUAGGGAUCAAUGCAAAGGACUUCAUUAAGGCCACAAAUACUAUUUACUCAAGAACAGUGAGGGACAGACCUGGCUCCAUCACUCUGAAAACACUUGAUGUCUAAGAGCAGCAAGGGUGCAAGCUUAAUGCGAGAGCAACGUGGCAAUCAGGACAACGCCUGACAUCUUGGGUGGCCUCAGGGUGUCCCGCUCAAACGGGGGGUGGUGGUUAUAAGGUUAUAAGAGCCUCGGGGCACGUGGUGGCUCCGACAGGUCCUCCACUGCACUGUGACCAGGUCUGAGAACGACAUCCCCGACAGGGCACAGCGUGUCCUUUUACGAAAGCGAAAGGCUCGGGAAACUAGGCCUGAGGAAGAACGACAGGAAGGAAUCAAGACCCCAGGAGAGGCUGGUUGGUGGCUUUGGCUCUUAGCGGGUCUCCCAUUUGGAAGAACUGAAUCUGGUUUGGGUGUCGCUCGAGUAUAACCGGGGUCAAAAUGAAGUGCUAGGAAGAUGCCCUCUGGUCAUAGCGAGAGUAAGAUGAUCUCUGACAACCUGCACUUCGAAACACAGCGCGGGCUGUUUUGUGAGGUGACGAACCUCCUGUCGUCCCAGAGGAAUUUCAACGGAGUCCGGGUAGCCAGUUUUCAAGACUCCACAGAGAAGAAGGACCCACAAGGAGGAAAUGCUCUCUGACCGGGAUGCUGGGGUGCGAUGCACAUUAGCAGUCUGACAAGGGUGCGGUCUACAUCAAAAAUGCCUCAUAAAUCCUUCCUGUUUCUGCUUUCCUUGAUGGUCGCCACCAUCUCCGUUCCUGGACCUUCUAGGUCCGAGCUUGGCAGAGGGAAAGCAGGAAAAUCUCGAUGCUGCAAGGCAGCAGGGGGGUCCCCGUGGCACUUGGAACAGUAACGGGGAAGCCAGUCCCCCGAGCCAACCAGGACUCUCCGCCCCGAUCGUGGGUGACCCCCGGAGCACAGGGGGGUAACCCCGAGCCAACCGAAGGUGCUCCUACCUGGAUUUAGGGCUCUGAAGGUUUUGGCGGCUGAGGAGUCGAGCGGCCGAGACCCGCUUUUUGUGGACAUUGGAUAGACCUGCGGGGAGCAAACCAACAAUCUUCCUGAGAUGGGGUUAAACUGUGGUCGGUGCAAACCCUCCAGCUUCUACUGACCCUCUCUUCACACUUCCACUGUCCCCAGAGUGAAGCCAAGAGGUGAAAGAAAUGACUCUGGGAGGGGGGGUGGUGCCGGCUGUGGAGAAUGCGAAGGAAAAGCAAAUCUGGUCGAGCUGAGUUGAGAAGAAGAGGUCAGAGUGACAUCCUCCUGCUGGAGGGAGGGACAUCCAAGGACACGCCUGGCUGAGCAGGGGUGGGGGGGCGCUGGCAGUGGACUUGUUUUGAGAGGAUUGCACGAAAGCUGCGGUCGUUGCUGAUGAGGGAGUUGUUUGCCUUCUCAAUGUUGACGUCAUCUCCCACGCAGAACACAUCGCAGGCUGCCUGUGGCACACACAGGGCUUCCGGUGACCUCUUUCAGCCAAGAGGGACUCUCCACCAACAGCUCGAAACCAUGACAUGAAUCCCUCCAUCCAUCCAUCCAUCCGCCCAUCUGUCCAUUCAUCCUUCCAUCCCUCCACCUACCCGCCCAUUCAUCCUUCUACCCUUCCUUCCUCCCACCUUCCCUUCCUCCCUCCU